UCCCGCUUAGCUCAGUUGGUAGAGCAUCGGACUGUUAAUCCGAGUGUCGCUGGUUCGAGCCCAGCAGCGGGAGCCA
rnacentral:tRNA from 1 species